rnacentral:rRNA from 1 species
CAUGGCUCAGGAUGAACGCUAGCGGCAUGCCUAACACAUGCAAGUCGAGGGAGAAGCCCUUUCGGGCGCAGAAACCGGCUCACGGGUGCGUAACGCGUAUGCAACCUACCUUUCACAGCGGGAUAGCCAGAAGAAAUUUGGAUUAAUACCCCAUAAUAUUGUUGGAUGGCAUCUUCUGGCAAUUAAAACUGCGGUGGUGAAAGAUGGGCAUGCGUCCUAUUAGCUAGUUGGAGUGGUAACGGCACCCCAAGGCUACGAUAGGUAGGGGUCCUGAGAGGGAGAUCCCCCACACUGGUACUGAGACAGGGACCAGACUCCUACGG